rnacentral:lncRNA from 1 species
AGCAUUUGGUUAAAUACAAGUGAACUUCUGCACUCAGAGUUCUGUUAGGAAGGAGACAGGAGAUAUUGUUACCGAGUGGAAGCUCAUAUUGGCUCACUGCGGUGGCCAAUAAAUCCAGAGAGGAGGUGUUGGGGCAAGGAAUAGCAGCUUUAUUCAGAAAGGCAGCAGACCCAUAAGAUAGUGGACUUCUGUCCCAAAGGGUGAUCUUACUGGUUAGAAUUCAGGCUGCUUUUAUACUAAAAGGGUGAGGCGGAAUGUGUGUUUGGGGUGGCUGGUUGCUGCCAACGUCUUGAUGCACAAAUCCUUGUUCGUGCAGCUGUCCAGGUAGGACUGGUCACAGUUUUUUAUUUUCUGUUCGGCAACUUUUUAUCUCUAUAUGAAGGGGAAAAAGUGUCAAAACAUGGAGAAGGAACUGUCAGGUAUAUUUCAGGCUCUAGGCAACAUUCUUUUUGUACAAAAGGUGGAGAGUUGGCAUGAUUAAGCACAGGCAGCAGUGCACAAGGAUUAGAGUUAAAGGACUGGGGAAAUAUUUUCUCUUCUGUAUGUAUACUCCGUGCUCUUUUAUGAUUUUAGACUUUCAUAUUUGUUCUUGCUUCUGCUUAUCAUUCUUCUGCCUUUCUCAUUGUAUGUCAUCAUCAUGAUUUAACCAGUGUCCUUUCACCCAUUUAUUCAUUCCAUCUACAGCUCACAAAUAUCCAAAUAUCCGUUAAAAGUCAGGCAUAUAGAAAUUAUGACAGCAAGUAUAGACACAGCCUAUGAUGGAAGAGAUGGAGACCUAAAGCAACAAUUAAAACAGAGCAGGAGUUUCCGUCGUGGCGCAGUGGUUAACGAAUCCGACUAGGAACCAUGAGGUUGCGGGUUCAACCCCUGGCCUUGCUCAGUGGGUUAACGAUCCGGCGUUGCCAUGAGCUGUGGUGUAGGUUGCAGACGCGGCUUGGAUCCCGCGUUGCUGUGGCUCUGGCGUAGGCCGGUGGCUGCAGCUCCGAUUCAACCCCUAGCCUGGGAACCUCCAUAUGCCACAGAAGCGGCCCAAGAAAUAGCAAAAAAAUAAAAGACAAAAAUAAAUAAAUAAAUAAAAACAGAGCAUAGUUAGUGCUUAUAAGAAGAUACAAAUCUGAGCUUCGAGUCACCAACCCCACCUGAGAUAGGAAGUUGAUCUUAUUGGAGGAGGUAAUGCUUAAGUGGUAUCUGAAGGAUGUCACUAAGGGAGGAGGGAAGAGUAGUCCUUCCAGUAUGUGCAGAGUUGUGAGAGAAUGUAAUUUCUUGAGGAACAUCAAAUGGAAAGCCCGGGCACCAUACAGUGGUUGCAGAGGAACUUCCUAACCUCCUCCAUGGGAUUUUAUAUCAGUCUGGGGAGGUUUGUUAUAUAUGAAAGCUUUAUAAGCUCAACAGACAAGUCAGUGAGUCAUUGUAUAUCAGUGAAAGAAGCAGGGGAUUAGAGUCUGACAGAUGUGGAUUUGAAUUCUGAUACUUCCUCACAUUAGCUGUGUGACUUUGGGUAAGAAAUUUCCCUCUUUUGAGUAUGUUUCUUAUCUGUAAGAUGGGGAUAAUUUUGUUUUAAUAUUAUGAGCAUCAAAAUAAUUUAGUACUUUCAAAACACCUGUAAGUGCCAGUAUCAUAAUGAGUUUUUAACAAAUAUUACUCCUCUUCCUUCACCCCUGGUAUUUAACUUCCUUCUUGAAAUUCUCUCCUCCUUUGGCUCUCUCCCAUUUCUCAGUUUUAACUUUAUAACUGCUUGUUUUGGCCGUGAACAUGAAUUUCUCUUCACUGAUGGAUCUUAUUUUCCGAAAAUACUGGUUAUCCCUAAGGAUUUGUCUUACCCUCUUCCAACUCAAUCUUUAUGCACAAGCAUCCUAAUUUAAGGCAAACUCUACUUCUUGAUAUGCUUUUAAAUUUCAGUGCCUUCAUCUAGGCCCAGACCUGUAUUUCAGCAGAUCUAUGGAUAACAAUAUAUUGUGUUUGUUAUCUAUUGCUGGGUAUGGAUUUACCCUAAAUUAAUGGUUCAAAGCAACAUUUUUAUUCCACAGUUUCUGUAGGCAUGAAUCUGGGUCUGGCUUACAUGGGCCACGCAUCCCAUGGCCUUUCACAAGAAGGCAAACAAAGUGUUAAACGGGAUUGUAGUCUCAUGUCUCCAUAUACACUUACAUAGUUGGACCAUGUUUCCCACUGGUGAGUGGAGUGAAAGUCUCAGUUCUUUACCAGCUGUUGGGUAGGACGACCCAUAACAUGGUAGCUGGUUUCCCUGAAAGCAAGUAGGAGAACGAGAAAAGCAAGAUGGAAUUCACUGUCCUUUGUAGUUUAAUAUCGGAAAUAAUGUCCUAUUACAUUGGCUACAUUUUAUUAGGAGUGAAUUGUUACAUCUGCCCACACUUGAGGGGAAUAGAUUACACAAGGAUGUGAAUACUAAGAGUCUUUUAAGAAACUACCUACCACACUUAAGACAUUCCUAUGAGGUAGAUAUUAUCCUUGUUUUACAGAUGAAAAAUAGAGACACUAAGAGUUUAAAUAUGAUACCAAUACUUACUCAUCAUUUUUGGAUCUGGCAAUUGAAACUUUAAGGCUGUUUUUUAUUUUGUAUUUAUUUAUUUUUAUUUUUGACAAAUCAAAAAUUGUAUGUAUUUAGGUAUACAGUAUGUUUUGAUAUAUAUAAUAAUUGUAAAAUUAUUUCCUCUGUGGAACUAAUAUAUCCAUCACCUCCCAAAUUUCCUUUUUUUUUUUUUUCUAUAUAGUGAGGACCCUAGAGAUCUUAGCAAAUUAAAAGUUUCUAAUACAUUAUUAUUGACUAUGAUAUACAUAAAGUCUUUAGAACUUACUUGUCUUAUAACUGAAAGUGAUCAAUAACUCUCCAUUUCCCUACAGCCUCUGGUAAACACCGUUCUACUCUGUUACUAUGAGUUUGACAUUUUUUUUUUAUUCCACAAACAAGUGAGAUCAUGCAGUAUUUGUCAUUCUCUGUCUGGAUUAUUUUACUUAGCAUGAUGUCUUUCAAUUGCCUCUGGGUUGUGGCAAGUGGCAGAAUUUUCUUCGUAAUUGUGGCUCUAAAAUAUUCCAUUGUAUAUAAAUCUACCACAUUUUCUUGAUCCAUUUAUCUGUUGAUGGAUACUUAGGUUGUUUUCAUAUCUUGGCUGUUGUAAAUAAUGCUGCAAUGAAUUUGGGAAUGCAGAUUAUCUCUCCGAGAUACUGAUUUAGUUUCCUUCAGAUGUAUACCCAGAAAUAGGAUUGUUGGAUCAUAUGGUACUUCUAUUUGUAAUUUUUUGAGGAACCUCCAUACUUUUUUCCACAGUGACUGUACCAUUUACAUUCUUAACAACACUACACAAAGAUUCCCUUUGCUUCGCAAUCUAACACUUGUUAUCGUUUGACUUUUUGGUCAUAGCAGUUCUAACAAUUGUGAGGUGAUAAUUGCAUUGUGGCUUUGAUUUGCAUUUUCAUGGUGAUUUAUGAUAUUGAGUAUCUUUUCAUAUACCUAUUGGCCAUUUGUGUGUCUUUGAAAAAAUGUCUAUUCAGGUUCUUUGCACAUUUUUUAAUUGAAAUAUUCUUUUGUUGUCUGUUGAAUUGUAUGACUUCUUUAUAUGUUUUGCAUAUUCUUAUGUCAGAUAUAUGGUUUGCAUAUAUUUUUUACCAUUCCACAGGCUGUCUGUAAAUUGUGUUGAUUGUUUCCUUCACUGUGCAGAUAAUUUUUUUGUUUCACAUUUGUUUAUUUUUGCUAGGGUUACCAGUGCUAUUGGUGUCAAU